rnacentral:lncRNA from 1 species
UUUAAAUAUAGUAUAUUUUACUCAUAAUUUAAAAAAAUAAAAACUAAAGAUCUUUAAAAAUGUGUAAUUACUAAAUUAAAGUUUAAAAUUAUUUUAACUAUUCAUAACUUUUGUUUGGAGAAAGAAAGAAAAGAGAGCAUUAAAUUAAAAAUUAAAUUGAGAGAGAGGGAGAAAAGCAGCAUGUACAUUUCUUUGCGAGAGAGAAAAGAGAAGAAAAAAAUAUAAAUAUUAAAUCAAAUAAAAAUUAAGUACGAGAGAGUGCACACUCUGUAAAAGAGAUAAAGUAUAUAUAUGAGGAAAACACUGUAUCACAUUAAAAAAUUAUAUCCUUAAUAGACCCAAUCAAAAUAGAACAAAUUCAUCUCCAUUGCCAAUUCAUGAUGUAUUAGAUUCGGUUUACAAUAUUAUGCAUGAUACUUCUAAAAGUCAAUUAUAAACAAUUUAAAAAUUAAGAUUUAAUUUAUUGAUUAUAUAUAGUAAUAUAUAGAUAUUUUUUUUUGGAAAAAACUUCAAAUACUACUUUUUUAUUUUAGUAGUCUAUGGUUUAAAGUAUAUCAAUUUAGUAUCCGUGGUUUUAUUUUUCUCUUUUUAUUACCUACUUCACUAAUUUUUUUCAUUAAAUCAGUGACAAAGUCAAAACUAAAAUGUAUUAAAGUGAACAUUCGAUAAACUUAGGUGGGGUAUCUGAAAUUUUUUAUAUAUAAUUUAAUAAAAUUUUAACGGAGGAGCUAACGAAAAGAGAAAAAUAAAAUCAUAGGGUAUUAAAUUGAUACAUUUUAAACCACAUGAUACUAAAAUAAGAAAGUGCGAAACCACAGGAGUCAUAUUUAAAGUUUAUCCUUUUUUUGAGAGAAAGUAGCAUGAUUUUACUUUUUUAGAAAUAAAUUUGUGUAUACUAAAAAUAAAUUUGUUAAAAAAAAAUUUAAAAAAAAGUUAUAUUACUUGGCUUGAAAAUGAAUUUUAUUUGAACUAAAGUUCAGAUAAAAAUUUUGAUUUUGCCGUUGUUGGCUCGAUAGAAAUUCGAUAGGUUUGAAACUGUAAUUAUCUUACAAUUUAUUUUACUACAAAUUUUGACACUAAUACAUAAGCCGAUGAAAAAAAUUACAGCAGUUAAUUUUUUUUUUUUAUUUCCUUUCUCCUUUUCUUCGGCACUACUCAGAGCAAAAUCAAUUAUAACGUUUUAGAAAAGCACGGAUAUGAGCGAAUAUAAUUUACUGCAAACCAAAUAACGAUAACGGACAUUAACGACCGAAAACAAUUUUAAACUCCCUCCACUUUCGAUGAAAUAAACAUGUUUCUGAAUUUAUCAAAUAGUUCAAUAGGCGCUCUUUCAAGGGGUUUUUUU